UACAGAGACUGCAAGCGUUAUUCGGAUUCACUGGGCGUAAAGGGUGCGCGGGCGGCCAAGUGUGUUAGGCGUGAAAGCCUGAGGCUUAACCUCAGAAUUGCACCUAAAACUACAUGGCUAGAGCAUUGGAGAGGGUAGCGGAAUUCACGGUGUAGCAGUGAAAUGCGUAGAUAUCGUGAGGAACACCAGAGGCGAAGGCGGCUACCUGGACAAUUGCUGACGCUCAGGCACGAAAGCGUGGGGAGCAAAAGGG
rnacentral:rRNA from 1 species